rnacentral:rRNA from 1 species
UGGGGGAAUAUUGCACAAUGGGCGAAAGCCUGAUGCAGCAACGCCGCGUGAGUGAUGAAGGUCUUCGGAUUGUAAAGCUCUGUCUUUUGGGACGAUAAUGACGGUACCAAAGGAGGAAGCCACGGCUAACUACGUGCCAGCAGCCGCGGUAAUACGUAGGUGGCGAGCGUUGUCCGGGAUUUACUGGGCGUAAGGGUGCGUAGGCGGAUGUUUAAGUGAGAUG